UCGGCCAGCGGUUUAUUUUGUAUAGUUUAAUAGUUAUUACUUAGUACGCUCGCGCUACAUACCAUUUACCUGUAAUGUUGGUCGUGGGCGCCGCGUGUGCGUUUGGUUGAGUGCGAUAUUUUUGUUUGCCCGCGAAUUCACUUCGUCGGAAAUCGGUAGCCUCCGUUGGUCGAUCGUUAAAACGGAUAUAUCGUAAUAAGUUCGUCCUCGCUGAUUUUUUUUUUUUUUUUUUAAAUCGUUUUUCGUCUGCUCGUUAAAAACAUAAUAUUUAACCGUUAUCAAUUUAUCAUCCGUGUGGUGUGGAUUACAAUACGUGAUAGCGGUGAACAAUAAUAAAAAAGCAACACAUUUUCGGGCGGGUCUGCGAGGCGCGAGUGCAUCCUGUGAUAAGAGAUAAAGCGGUACGAGCCUCAAUCGCGGCCGGUUGUUGUUUCGUAACGUAAUUAUUUAGGUACCAAGUGACCAGUGUUAAUAAUUAUAAAAAUAAUGCUAUAAAUUUUUUCACAUUUUUUAGUACUUUGUUUUCCUUUUACACUUUGCCGUUGAACGAAUGUGCGUUGUGCGACAGUCGUCGAGUUGUAUUUAUCUAGCCGUUCGUAUUUAGUAUAGUAUUAAACCGGUUUGAAUGUGUGCCCAUCGAAUUUAUUUUUUUAAACGACCCAAGUGAAGCGAAUCCAAUAACGACGACGACCCCACCAACAAACUCGUUGCCGAACCGUCUUUACCGUACAAUUACGGGUAAUGGACGCGUGAACUUUACAACCACCGUGUACUCGGGCAUAUACCCACAAGAUAAUGUCCACGGCGCCGUUCGUGGUCAAGCACGAUGGGAAGAAGCACAAUAUUGAACAUUUUUUGCGCUUCCACCCGGGUGGCACCAACACAUUGUCAUUUCUGAAGAACGCCGAUGUCACCGAUCGGCUAUUGGCUACUCACCACUCUGCUGCUGCAUACGAGUUGCUCAAGGAUUAUAGAGUAGACGAGGAAGAUGUACACAAGCAUAUUAGAGAGGAUGGCGAUUUAGAGAGUCUUGUAGAUUGGAAUCGACCCAUGUUUUGGCAAGUUGGGUCGUUAGGCCCAAAGUACAAAGAAUGGGUAUUGGCUCCUGUUGAUCGAAAAUUGAGAUUGUUCGGCUCCGACUUCAUCGAAUCGCUUACCAUCACUUCAUGGUAUAUGGUACCAUCGAUUUGGAUACCUGUGAUGUUUUACCUAAUAUUCAUUGGUUAUCAAAGGUUAAGAAGUUCAUUAACCAGCACAAUAGAUCAAACAAUUUAUUCAGAUUAUUUUUCGAUAGUAACAUUGGUCAUAUGUUCAACUAUUUUGGGCUUACUUUUGUGGCCUCUCAUUGAGUACACCAUUCAUCGUUGGUUAUUUCAUUUACAGCCUCCAGACAACUCACCUUUACUUAUCACAUUGCAUUUUGGCAUUCACGGAUUACAUCACAAGGUGCCAUUUGACGACCGACGGUUAUUGUUUCCGCCGGGACCAGCCGCAGUACUUAUAUCGGCUGCGUACGCUAUAUACUUGAUGCUUUUUCCUCAUUGGAUGGCGCCGCUGGUAUUGGCUGGUAUGAUUUCGGGCUAUGUAACUUAUGAUUUAAUACAUUUCUACUUACACUACGGAUGUCCCAGGGAAGGCUCGUACCUGUACACAAUGAAAAGAUACCACAACCAACAUCAUUUCGCGCACCACGAAAGCGGUUUCGGUAUCAGCAGCCAAUUUUGGGACCACAUAUUCGGCACAGCAAUUGCACUGAAAAAGCUUAGCCGAUGUUUAAAAUGGUACUAACCUGCUACCUGUAAACUCGUGCCUUAUAAAUUAUAAUAUUAUAUAUACAAAAAUGAAAGAAAUUAAAUUAUAUGAAAGAAAUCACACCAAACUCGGAGUGCCUAUCUAAUGAAACUCAAAUAUUACAAUUAAUAAUUUAACAAAUAAUGAUCCGCUCACGGAAGCAGUCAUAACACGACGGUAUAUUAUAUAUAUAUAUGUAACUUGUCUAAUUUUGUUAUGCAUAAAAAAUAUAUAUAUUAUAAAUAUAUAAAUGUA
rnacentral:misc_RNA from 1 species